rnacentral:rRNA from 1 species
UAGCCGCAGAAUUCUGUGCUAAGGUAGCAUAAUCAUUUGUUUUUUAAUUAAAAACUAGAAUGAAAGGUUAAAUGAAUAAAAAAUUUUAAUUUAAUAAUAUAUUUAAAUUAAAUUUAUUGUUAAAAUACAAUAAUAAUUUAAAAAGACGACAAGACCCUAUUGAACUUAACAUUUGUUAUACUGGGGAAGUAUUUUAAUAAAAAUUUUAUUAUAUUAUCUUUUAAACUAUCCUUUAAAAAGAAUAAAAAGUUACCAUAGGGAUAACAGCGCAAUUUAUUUUUAAAGUUCUUAUUAAAAAAUAAGAUUACGACCUCGAUGUUGAAUUAAUAUAUCAAAUAAAAGCAAAAUUUUAUAAGAAAGUCUGUUCGACUUUUAAAAAAUUACAUGAUCUG